rnacentral:ncRNA from 2 species
CACACACCGCCCGGUACAGGUGCGCCAGUCGCCCGGAUGCGCGGCGCACAAUGGAGGAAGACCGGUGAAAGUCCGGCGCUGUCCCGCAACGGUAACACGCCCGCGAGCGUGAAGCCCGAUACUCCGCCUGUACCGUGCUCGUGUA